rnacentral:lncRNA from 1 species
UAAUGUAUUUGAGGAGUAAAGCUGAAGAAGCAUAUAAACCAGGUGGUUCUGCUUACAAGCAAUUGGAUAAGCUGAUCAAUGAAGUACUUUUGUCAAACAUAAAGAAGGUUUAAGCUUUGUAUCCAAAGUUCUCUGCUGUUACACCUGGUUGAUCUGCUUUUCUUCUUUAGGAACCUAUGUAUUAUUAUAUAUUGAAUAUUAUUGCAUGGUUUUUCUUCAAUAAAUUCUCCUAUUUGAUUUUUCUGAAGACUAGCUCAUUAAUUAAGUAGGAAAAUGUAUAUAAAGAUUGUGGUAUAUGUUAGAUUGGAUCUGUUUCAGAUAAGCAUGUUGUAAAACUCUCUAAUCCUAACGACGUCCGUGAUAUGUAGUUUGAAUUAUUCUUUUUAAAAAUAAAUUGCUCUGUUUUCUUUUGUUCACCGAUAUAACUAACACAUGGUUAGUUAAGCAAGCAAACAAUCUUUAUAUAUUGAUUCUACAUCGUAUACAUUUUUCUUCUUUUAUCUUAAUUAAUGGUGAAUUUGUAACCGUGUCUUUCCAUUUUAUCUAUAUACGUGUGCAAGACAUCUCUUGACAUCCUCUUAUUAUUGUUGGUAUGAAUUUGAAAAUUUGUAUGUCGUGGACACAUAAAUUCAUAUAGUAGUAAAAUGUCCUCAUUAAAAAAAAAACUAUUAACAACUUAUCCUAAAAUAAAUUUGAAAUUUUUUAUCCAAACACACCAUUUAACCACUAUAAACCAUUACUAUUAUUAGGAAAACUAUGAAAAACAAUAAAUUUGACAAAAUAUUUACAAGCUAUAACACAAUUUCAUAUCUGUCAAUACCAAACAGUGAUAUCCUUCUAUCUAUGGCAUUGAAGCUAUUACUAAUUAUUUUUUAUAGAAUCCAUAAAUUUUAUUAUAUAUUAUAAAUAUUUUAAUUUAUUUUGCUACUUUAAAAACUAAUUUGAAUAGUUUUAUGUCGCAAUUGAUCGUUUGUCCAUCCAUUUAUUAUGACAACCACAAGUAACAUCUGUAGUGGUCACCAUGGUUUUUUUGUUUUUUUCCCAAGAUUCAUAUAUUAAUAAAUGAUUGAGAUACAUACAUUAAUCAACCAACGAUCCAAAAGCAAAAAGAUAUUUAUAAGUUCAAAUUAUCUUCUUGCUUCUGCAGCUUGUAAGAAUAUUAGAAUUCUUACAUUUUUGUUUCUCAGAAAACUGAGCAAUUCCCCAUUUCAAGAAGAUCAAGAAAUUCAAUGAUGGAAUCUGUCUCACAGACUGAAAAACCACAUGCUGUAUGUAUCCCAUAUCCAGUCCAAGGCCAUAUCACCCCUAUGCUAAUGCUUGCUAAGCUUCUCCAUCACAGAGGUUUCUACAUAACUUUUGUCAAUACCGACUACAAUCAUCGUCGUCUUCUCCAAUCGAGAGGCCCCAACUCGCUCGAUGGCUUGCAAGAUUUUAAGUUCCGAACCAUUCCCGACGGCCUUCCUUACUCGGACGCCAACUGUACUCAAGAUAUUCCAGCACUCUGUGAAUCCACCUCCAAGAAUUGCUUAGCCCCUUUUUGUGAUCUUAUUUCACAACUUAACUCAAUGGCAGCUUCUCCUUCUAGUAAUAUGCCACCAGUUAGCUGCAUUGUUAGUGAUGCUAUUAUGUCUUUCUCUAUGUUGGCUGCCAAUGAGUUUAAAAUCCCUUAUGCUUUUCUUUGGACUGCUAGUGCUUGUGGCUAUCUUGGUUACUUCCAAUAUGAGCAUCUCAUUAACCAGGGCUUGAUUCCUCUUAAAGGUAUGGUUUCAUUUUAAUGUGUUUUCUUUUCUUUUUUGUCAAUCUUUGUUCGAAAUGGAUUUUUGUGUGGUAGAAUUUUAUUUUAAAAAUUAUGUUUAACUUUUUUAUGAACAUUUUCAGCAUAAUCAACUAAAAUAUUUAUAGAAUAUAUCAAAAUUUUACAUGUUAGAUUUAAAGAUAGAGAUUUAUUUUAGUAUAUUGAUAGACAUAAAUAGACUUAUAUUAGUAUGAAUUGAUAUACUAAAUUUUUUCAAUUUUAUUUCUAAUAAAUUUAUAAAUUAAAAAAGUUUCUAAUAAUUAUAUCCUUAAUGUUUUUUAAUUUUUAUUUUCAUCUAACUCUUGUUAUCUUUUUAUCAAGUCUUUCAUCCAUUUCAACGUUUUAAAGAUAGUAGGAACCUAUUAGACUUAAAAGUUACAAGUUUAAUUAUGUUCAUUAGACCCAAAAUAAAUUUUCAUUCCUAUUUUUUAAAAAAAAAUUAUAGAACAUGUCAAAAACCUAAGAACUACUUAUAUAUUUUUUGAGAGGAUAUGAAUUUGAAAAUUUAGAAACAAAUGAGAUGCUUAUCUUUUCAAGAGAAAUUUUAAUAGUUAGAUAAGAUGCCAAACAAUUGAGAGUGAUAGACUUUUAUCACCUCUAAAGUCUUAGUUCUGUCAGUUAGUGUUAGUGAUAGGUUUCUCAUUAUCCAUUUCUAUUAUUGAUAGACAUCGAUAAACUUCUAUUAGUUUUUAAUAUUGAUAUAUGACAUCGAUAGAUUUCUACAUGUGUUUAACCUGUAUUUUCUAAAUUUCUUAUCAACAUAUAUUUGAAAGAUAAGAAAUUUAGAGUUUUUUGCGAAUUUUUUUUUAAAUAAUGUAAAAUUUGAAACAUAUAUCAAAAAUAGGGUGGAUGCAAAACUAUUUUUAAAAAUAGGUGAUUUGGGGUGAAGUCUCGUACACGACUUUCAUGCAGUGGACCUCACAUAUUCUAUUUUUUUUCUUAUUUUUAUAUUUAUACUACACUGGGCCCACAUUUUUUUUAUUUUCUCAUUAUUUAUAUACGUGGGACCCACACACUUCACUUUUUCUCAUUAUUUAUAUAUACAUACUCACAUAUAAUAUAAUAUAUAUAUUAAACAUUCAAAUUCUAAAGAUAUCUUUCUUUAUUAAAUUAAUUAAUUUUUUAUUUUUUCUUUAUAUAUAUUUAAAUAUCACAAUCUUCAAUCUUCGUUUUUUCUUAUUAAAUUCAUUUUUCUACUUUAAUUUAAAUUUUUCUUAAUCAAAAUUACACAUAUCUUCUUUUCCAAAUUUUAAUUUUUUUAAACAAACUCAUAUAUUAACAAAUAUGUUAUUAAACAAAUAAAAAUAGAAAUAAUAGUAAUAAUUAUAUAUAUAUAUAUAUAUAUUUAAUAUCUCAAUCUUCAAUUUUUCUUAUUAAUUCAUCUUUUCUAAUUUAAUUUAAUUAUUUCUUAACCAAAAUUAUAUAUAUCUUUUUCUAAUUUUCUGUUUUAAAAAACACAUAUAUUAACCAAAUAUGUUAUUAAAAAAUACAUUAAACAAAUAAAAAUAAUAAUAGUAAUUGAAAGAAGUUGAAACGUACUCUAAAAAUAAUAAUAACAAUAAAUUUGUAAUUGAAAAUUAUCCGUUAAGUUUUUAAAUUUAAUUUGUAAUCGAACCAAUUCUUGUUUUUUUCCUUUUGCCAUAAACAUGAAUUUCUUUUUAUUCAAUUAUCAAUGUGCGUGGCUUCAAGUGUUAUUAUUAUUAUUUUUUUUAGUAAUUUUAACUUAUCUCAAUUAUUAUUAUUACUCUUUUAAUUUGUUUAAUAUAUUUUUAAUAACAUGUUUUGUUAAUAUAUGAGAUUUUUUAACAAAAUUGAAAGUUGGAAAAAAAAUAUAUGUAUAAUUUUGAUUAAGAAAGAAUUAAAUUAAAUUAGAAAAAUGAAUUUAAUAAGAAAAAUUGAAGAUCGAAGAUUGUGAUAUUUAAAUAUAUAUAAAGAAAAAAAUAAAUUAAUUUAAUAAAAAAAGAUAUUUUUAGAAUUUGAAUGUAUAACAUAUAUAUAUUAAAUUAUAUGUGAGUAUGUAUAUAUAAAUAAUGAGAAAAAGUGAAGUGUGUGGGACCUACGUAUAUAAAUAAUGAGAAAAUAAAAAAAUGUGGGGUCCAGUGUUGUAUAAAUAUAAAAAUAAGGAAAAAAUAAAAUAUGUGGGAUCCACUGCAUAAAAGUCGUGGUACACGACUUCACCCCAAAUCACCUAUUUUUAAAAAUAGUUUUGCAUCCACCCUAUUUUUGAUAUAUGUUGCAAAUAUUACAUUAUUUUUAGAAAAAAUCCGUUUUUUGCAAUAACCAGUAAAUCGUUUUAACCUAUCUUCCAAUUAAAAAAAGAACUUGGACAUCCAUUAGAAUACACAACCAGGUGGACCAAACUCAUAAUUUAAACCAAAUUCUUUAUUUUGGUAUUUGUGUAUUUAGUUUUGAUAUCUUUACUGGUUAACAGAUAUAAGUCAGGUAACAUAUGAAUAUUUAGAAACUACAAUCGAAUAGAUUCAAGGAAUGAAAAAUAUAAGUUUGAGAGAUCUUCCUACUUUUCUUAGAACAACAGUUCGAGAUGAUAUCAUGCUCACUUUUAUCAUUCAAGCAAUGGAAAGAUCUAGAGAAGCACCUGUAGAUAACAUUGCUAUAUAAAUUUCUAUAUAUGUUCAUUACUUAUAUCGUUGAUAGAUAUGCUAAUAGGCUUCCAUCAACGUUCAUUUAAAUGAUAAAAAAUAAGAAAUUUAUUUGAAAUAACUUGUAAAUAGUUUAAUCUAUCUUCAAAUUAAAAAAGAAAAAAAAAAAACUUGGACAUCCAUCAGAAUAAAGAACCAUGUGGACCAAACUCAUCAUUUUAACCAAAUUCUUUAUUUUGAAGUUUGUGUAUUUAAAUUUUAAACUCUUUACUGGUUAACAGAUAUGAGUCAGCUAACAGAUGGAUAUUUAGAAACUACAAUCGGAUGGACUCAAGGAAUGAAAAAUAUACGUUUGAGAGACCUUCCUACUUUUCUUAGAACAACAAAUCUAGAUGAUAUUAUGAUCAAUUUUAUCCUUCAAGAAAUGAAAAGAUCUCGAGAAGCAUCUACAAUUAUAUUAAACACAUUUGAUGCAAUCGAAGGAGAUGUCAAAGAUUCUCUUUCAUCUAUCCUUCAGUCUAUUUACACUAUUGGUCCACUUCACAUGCUUGGCAACAAAAUAGAUGAUGAAAAACUAACAGCAAUUGGCUCAAACCUAUGGGCUGAGGAAUCAAAAUGCAUUGAGUGGCUUAACUCUAAGCAGCCCGACUCAGUUGUUUAUGUUAAUUUUGGUAGCAUCACAGUGAUGACACCACAACAAAUGGUUGAGUUUGCAUGGGGAUUAGCUGAUAGUGGGAAGCCAUUUUUGUGGAUUACAAGGCCUGAUUUAAUUGUGGGAGAUUCAGCCAUUAUGCCUCAAGAAUUUGUUACACAGACUAAAGAUAGAAGCUUGAUAUCAAGUUGGUGUAGUCAAGAACAAGUGUUGAGCCAUCCUUCAAUAGGAGGAUUUCUAACACAUAGUGGAUGGAAUUCAACUCUUGAGAGUAUAUGUGCUGGUGUUCCAAUGAUUUCAUGGCCUUUCUUUGCUGAACAACAAACAAAUUGUCGUUAUUGUUGCACUGAGUGGGGGAUUGGAAUGGAGAUUGACAACAAUGUAAAAAGAAAUGAAGUGGAGGAGUUAGUGAGAGAGUUGAUGGAUGGAGAAAAAGGUAAGAAAAUGAAAGAGAAUGUAAUGUAUUUGAAGAGUAAAGCUGAAGAAGCAUAUAAACCAGGUGGUUCUGCUUACAAGCAAUUGGAUAAGCUGAUCAAUGAAGUACUUUUGUCAAACAUAAAGAAGGUUUAAACUUUGGAUACAAAGUUCUCUGCUUUUACACCUAGUUGAUCUGAUUUUCUUCUUUAGGUCUAUGUAUUAUUAUAUUGAAUAUUAUUGCAUGGUUUUCAUUUUUAAAUAAAUUCUCCAAUUUGGUAUUUCAAUUUUCUUGGGUAGAAAACAUAAUUCAGAGUUGUAGUCUUCUUAAUCUACGAGGAUAAACUUGUAUUAGUUUCUUUAACUGAAUAGUUAUUCUUUAUUAGUUUCUAUCACGAUUAGACAUUGAAAAUUUUAUCAGCCUUUAUCAUUGAUAAGCUUCUAGCAUUGAUAGAUGACAUUGAUAGGUUUUUGUAUUUAUUCAUUAGUUAUAGUGUUGAUAUAGAUGAUGCUGAUAGACUUCCAUCAACUUCUAUCUCAAUAAUAAAGAAAUUUAGAAACUUUUCUAAUAACUUGUAAAUAGUUUAACCAAUCUUUCAAUUAAAAAAAAAAAAAACUUGAACAUCUAUUAAAAUACACAACCACCUGGACAAAACUCAUCAUUUAAAAAAAAAAAUCAUUAUUUUGGAAUCUGUGUAUUUAGUUUUGAAAUCUUUACAGGUUAAUAGAUAUGAGUCAGGUAACAGAUGGAUAUUUAAAAACUACAGUCGGAUGGACUCAAGGAAUGAAAAAUAUAUGUUUGAAAGACCUUCCUACUUUACUUGGAACAGUAGUUGAAGAUGACAUUAUGAUCAAUUUUAUCAUUCAAGCAAUGGAAAGAUCUCCAUAAGCAUCUGCAAUUAUAUUAAACACAUUUAAUAUAAUGGAAGGAGAUGUCAAAGAUUCUCUUUCUUUAUUUACACCAUCGGUCCACUUCACAUGCUUUCCAACCAAAUAGAUGAUGAGAAUCUAACAGCAAUUGGCUCAAACCUAUUGGCUGAGGAAUCAGAAUCCAUUGAGUGGCUUAACUCUAAGCAACCCAACUCAGUUGUUUAUGUUAAUUUUGGUAGCAUCACAGUGAUGACACCACAACAAUUGAUUGAGUUUGCAUGGGGAUUCGCUGAUAGUGGGAAGCCACUUUUGUGGAUUACAAGGCCUGAUUUAAUUGUGGGAGAUUCAGCCAUUAUGCCUCAAGAAUUUGUCACACAAACUAAAGAUAGAAGCAUGAUAGCAAGUUGGUGUAGUCAAGAACAAGUGUUGAACCAUCCUUCAAUAGGAGGAUUUGUAACACAUAGUGGAUGGAAUUCAACUCUUGAGAGAGUAUAUGUGCUGGUGUUCCAAUGAUAUGUUGGCCUUUCUUUGGUGAACAACAAACAAAUUGUCGUUAUUGUUGCACUGAGUGGGGGAUUGGAAUGGAGAUUGAUAACAAUGUAAUAAGAAGUGAAGUGGAGGAGUUAGUGGGAGAGUUGAUGGAUGGAGAAAAAGGUAAUUGAAAAUGAAAGAGAAUGUAAUGUAUUUGAAGAGUAAAGCUGAAGAAGCAUAUAAACCAGGUGGUUCUGCUUGCAAGCAAUUGGAUAAGCUGAUCAAUGAAGUACUUUUGUCAAACAUAAAGAAGGUUUAAGCUUUGUAUCCAAAGUUCUCUGCUGUUACACCUGGUUGAUCUGCUUUUCUUCUUUAGGAACCCUAUGUAUUAUUAUAUAUUGAAUAUUAUUGCAUUGUUUUUCUUCAAUAAAUUCUCCUAUUUGAUUUUUUUGAAGAGGAGCUCAUUAAUUAAGUAGGAAAAUGUAUAUAAAGAUUGUGGUAUAUGUUAGAUUGGAUCUCUUUCAGAAAAGCAUGUUGUAAAACUCUCUAAUCCUAACGACGUUGGUGAUAUGUAGUUUGAAUUAUUCUUUUUAAAAAUAAAUUGCACUUUUUUGUUUGUUUCACGAAUAUAACUAACACAUGGUUAGUUAAGCAAGCAAACAAUCUCUAUAUAUUUGAUUCUACAUUGUAUACAUAUAUUUUUCUUCUUUUAUCUUAAUUAAUGGUGAAUUUGUAACCGUGUCUUUCCAUUUUAUCUAUAUAUAUGUGCAAGAGAUCUCUUAACAUCCUCCUAUUGUUGUUGGUAUGAAUUUGAAAAUUCGUAAAAUUCAAAUAAUAGUAAAAGGUCCUCAUUAAACAUUAACAACUUAUCUUAAAAUGAAUUUGAAAUUUUUUAUCCAAACAAACCAUUUAAUUUGAAGUGCCACAAGCACUAUAAAUCAUUAUUAUUAUUAGAAAAUUUAUGAAAAAUAGCAAAUUUGACAGAAUAUUUACAAGUUAUAACACAAUUUCAUAUAUGUCAAUAUAUACCAAACAGUGAUAUCCUUCUAUCUAUGGCAUUGAAACUUACUGACUAUCUUUUGUAGAAUCUACAAAUUUUGAUACAUAUGAUAAAUAUUUUAAUUUAUUUUGCUAUUUUAAAAACUAUUUCGAAUAGUUUUAUUUGACAAUGGAUCGUUUGUCCAUCCAUUUAUUAUGACAACCAUAAGUAACAUCUGUAGUGGUCACGAUGGUUUUUUUGUUUUCUGUUCUUUUCGCGAGAUUCAUAUAUUAAUAAAUAAUUGAGAUACAUACAUUAAUCAAUCAACCAUCCAAAACCAAAAAGAUAUUUAUAAGUUCAAAUUAUCUUCUUGCUUCACCAGCUUAUAAGAAUAUUAGAAUUCUUACAUUUUUGUUUCUCAGAAAACUGAGCAAUUCCCCAUUUCAAGAAGAUCAAGAAAUUCAAUGAUGGAAUCUGUCUCACAGACUGAAAAACCACAUGCUGUAUGUAUCCCAUAUCCAGUCCAAGGCCAUAUCACCCCUAUGCUAAUGCUUGCUAAGCUUCUCCAUCACAGAGGUUUCUACAUAACUUUUGUCAAUACCGACUACAAUCAUCGUCGUCUUCUCCAAUCGAGAGGCCCCAACUCGCUCGAUGGCUUGCAAGAUUUUAAGUUCCGAACCAUUCCCGACGGCCUUCCUUACUCGGACGCCAACUGUACUCAAGAUAUUCCAGCACUCUGUGAAUCCACCUCCAAGAAUUGCUUAGCCCCUUUUUGUGAUCUUAUUUCACAACUUAACUCAAUGGCAGCUUCUCCUUCCAGUAAUAUGCCACCAGUUAGCUGCAUUGUUAGUGAUGCUGUUAUGUCUUUCUCUAUGUUGGCUGCCAAUGAGUUUAAAAUCCCUCAUGCUUUUCUUUGGACUGCUAGUGCUUGUGGCUAUCUUGGUUACUUCCAAUAUGAGCAUCUCAUUAAACAAGGCUUGAUUCCUCUUAAAGGUAUGGUUUCAUUUUAAUCUGUUUUCUUUUCUUUUUUAUGUCAAUCUUUGUUCAAAAUGGAUUUUUGUGUGGUAGAAUUUUAUUUUAAAAAUUAUGUUUUAACUUUUUUAUGGACAUUUUAGCAUAAUCAACUAAAAUAUUUAUAAAAUAUAUCAAAAUUUUACAGAUAUUGAUAGACAUAAAUAGACUUAUAUUAGUAUUAAUUGAUACUAAAUUUUUUCAAUUUUAUUUCUAAUAAAUCUAUAAAUUUAAAAAGUUUCUAAUAAUUAUAUACUUAAUUUUUUUUUCAUCUAACUCUUUCAACUUUUAAUGUUAUCUUUUUAUCAAGUCUUUCAUCCAUUUCAACAUUUUAAAAGUUACAAGUUUAAUUAUGUUCAUUAGACCCAAAACAAAUUUUCAUUCCAAAUUUUUUUAAAAAAAUUUAUAGAACAUGUCAAAAACCUAAGAAUGACAUAUAUAUUUUGAGAGGAUAUGAAUUUGAAAAUUUAGAAACAAAUGAGAUGCUUAUCGUUUCAAGAGAAAUUUUCAUGGUUAGAUAAGAUGCCAAACAAUUGAGAGUGAUAGACUUUUACCACCUCUAAAGUCUUAGUUCUGUCAGUUAGUGUUAGUGAUAGGCUUCUCAUUAUCCAUUUCUAUUAUUGAUAGACACCGAUAAACUUGUAUUAGUUUUUAAUAUUGAUACAUGACAUUGAUACAUAGAUUUCUAGAUGUGUUUAACCUAUAUUUUCUAAAUUUCUUAUCAACAUAUAUUCGAAAGAUAAGAAAUUUAAAGUUUUUCGCAAUAACCAGUACAUCGUUUAACCUAUCUUCCGAUUAAAAAAAGAACUUGGACAUCGAUUAGAAUACACAACCAGGUGGACCAAACUCAUAAUUUAAACCAAAUUCUUUAUUUUGGUAUUUGUGUAUUUAGUUUUGAUCUCUUUACUGGUUAACAGAUAUAAGUCAGAUAACAGAUGAAUAUUUAGAAACUACAAUCGAAUGAACUCAAGAAAUGAAAAAUAUAAGUUUGAGAGAUCUUCCUACUUUUCUUAGAACAACAGUUCGACAUGAUAUCAUGCUCACUUUUAUCAUUCAAGCAAUGGAAAGAUCUAAAGAAGCACCUGUAGAUGACAUUGAUAUACAAAAUUUUAUAUAUGUUCAUUACUUAUAUCGUUGAUAGAUAUGCUAAUAGGCUUCCAUUAACAUUCAUAUAAAUGAUAAAAAUAAGAAAUUUAUUUGCAAUAACUUGUAAAUAGUUUAAUACACCCAUUAGAAUAUACAACCAUGUGGACCAAACUCAUCAUUUUAACCAAAUUCUUUAUUUUGAAGUUUGUGUAUUUAAGUUUUGAACUCUUUACUGGUUAACAGAUAUGGAUCAGGUAACAAAUGGAUAUUUAGAAACUACAAUCGAAUGGACUCAAGGUAUGAAGAAUAUACGUUUGAGAGACCUUCCUACUUUUCUUAGAACAACAAAUCUAGAUGAUAUUAUGUUGAAUUUUCUCCUUCAAGAAAUGAAAAGAUCUCGAGAAGCAUCUACAAUUAUAUUAAGCACAUUUGAUGCAAUCGAAGGAGAUGUCAAAGAUUCUCUUUCAUCUAUCCUUCAGUCUAUUUACACUAUUGGUCCACUUCACAUGCUUGGCAACAAAAUAGAUGAUGAAAAACUAACAGCAAUUGGCUCAAACCUAUGGGUUGAGGAAUCAGAAUGCAUCGAGUGGCUUAACUCUAAGCAGCCCAACUCAGUUGUUUAUCUUAAUUUUGGUAGCAUCACAGUGAUGACACCACAACAAAUGGUUGAGUUUGCAUGGGGAUUAGCUGAUAGUGGGAAGCCAUUUUUGUGGAUUACAAGGCCUGAUUUAAUUGUGGGAAAUUCAGCCAUUAUGCCUCAAGAAUUUGUUACACAAACUAAAGAUAGAAGCUUGAUAGCAAGUUGGUGUAGUCAAGAACAAGUGUUGAACCAUCCUUCAAUAGGAGGAUUUCUAACACAUAGUGGAUGGAAUUCAACUCUUGAGAGUAUAUGUGCUGGUGUUCCAAUGAUUUCAUGGCCUUCCUUUGCUGAACAACAAACAAAUUGUCGUUAUUGUUGCACUGAGUGGGAGAUUGGAAUGGAGAUUGACAACAAUGUAAAAAGAAAUGAGGUGGAGAAGUUAGUGAGAGAGUUGAUGGAUGGAGAAAAAGGUAAGAAAAUGAAGGAGAACGCAAUGUUUUUGAAGAGUAAAGCUGAAGAAGCAUAUAAACCAGGUGGUUCUGCUUACAAGCAAUUGGAUAAGCUGAUCAAUGAAGUACUUUUGUCAAACAUAAAGAAGGUUUAAACUUUGUAUCCAAAGUUAUCUGGUCCUUACACCUAUUAGAUCUGCUUUUCUUCUUUAAUAACCUAUGUAUUAUUAUAUUGAAUAAUGUUGCAUGGUUUUUUUUUCAAUAAAUUCUCCUAUUUAAUAUUUUGAAGAGUAUCCCAUUUAAUUAAGUAGGAAAAUGUACUGUAUAAAGAUUAUGGUAUAUGUUAGAAUGGUAAUCUGCGUAUUUGUAGUAGCAGAGAGAAGCGUAUUGUAUAACUCUCUAAUUCUAAAGGUAUUGUUAUUGAACCAUCUACACCUUAUAUGCAUUUUUCUACUUUUGUCUUGAUUAUUUGUGGAUUCGUAGCAGUGUCUUUCCAUUUUAUAUAAAUAUAUGUGCAUGAGAUCCCUCAACAUUCUCGUUAUUAUGUUAUUAUGUUAUGAUUGUUGUUGGCAUAAAUUUGAAAAUGAGUAGCGUGACACAAAUCCAAAUAGUAGUAAAAGGUUCUCAUGAAAAAAGAACUAUUAACUACUUGACCUAGAAAGAUGUUUGGGGAUAAUUUUAUUAUUAGAGUAGAAAGAAAGAGUAGAAAGAAAGUGGAAUCCGAGAUUUAUGUUGAGAGUAAGUAUUAAAGAUUAUUGCCAUGUUUGAUCAGCAAGUAUUAAAGAAUUAAGUGAAAUUCAAUUAGUACUACUAGGUUGUUGUUCGAUCGAUAGUCGUAUUUUGUUAAAGAUAACUGUUAUAGUCUCCUUGCAAUCAAUGUAAAAUGAAUAGUUGUCUUUAGAACCAUGCUUAUCAAAAGUGUGUCUUGACGACUUGUUGAUCUUGAGGUUUUUAUGAGUUUAUGGUUAUUUCAACAUAUAGACUUUGGUUAUUUAAUAUCGUAUUACUUUUGAAAAUUGUUGUGUGAUCUAUGCUUGUUAGUUUGUUUGCAAUAAUUAUUUGUAUUCAACUUAGUUGUAAUCAAUUUUGCAGUCUUUUUAUUACAAAUUUUGACCAAAGAAAAAUACAUUUGACAUUCACGUGACAACAUCAAUAAGUUUGUAAUUUAAGAAAGAGGUGAGAAUUGCAAAAAAAAAGAGAAAAUAUUAGAGUAGAGCGUCUAAUUUCUUUAGUAUUAUUUAGUAAGAGACCUAAAUAAUAUUGAAGAAGUUAACCUCUUUUAAAUACCUCAUAAGAAAGCAUUUCUCGCGUGUUAUUACAUAUAUAUUUUACAAUAUACAUCUAAUUGUUGUCUUACGUUAUAUUAAACAUGGUCUAUUAUAGUCUAAUUCAACUAUAACAUCAAAGUUUCAUUAACUAAUUAUAAUAAAUUUCAUUCAUUUCUAUCUCCAUAAAUUUUCAUAAAAUCGAAUUCAUGAGGAAUGUAAUUUGAUAUUUUGAACCUUGCAACCCACCUAAUUUUAGCUAGUUAUAUAUAUAUAUAUAUAUAUUAGUCCAAUCAAUAAAUUACUAGUACUAGUUUCUUAUUCUAAUUCACUCAAUUAAAAUUAGAAUUGGUGAAAAGUAUUAAUUUGUAGAAUUUGAAUUGAUAUUUAAUCUGAAGGGGGCGGAUAUGGUACAAAUGAUUAAUUGUUAUACUGUUGUUUUUAUUUGGCAAUGCAUUAUUGGUUCAAUCCUUUAAUAUAACAUAACGAUAAGUAGGCACUCACGGUGGUCUUUUGUUCUAUUCCCAAGAUUCAUAUAUUAAUAAAUAAUUAAGAGACAUAUGAUCUGCAUAAUCAAUCAAUAAUCCAAAAGCAAAAAAGAUAUUUAUAAGUUCAAACUACUUCUUGCUUUUGUAGCCUGUAAGAAUAUUAGAAUUAUUUCUCCAAAAACUGAGCAAUUCCCCAUUUCAAGAAGAAAAGAAAAGAAGAUCAAGAAAUUCAAAGAUGGGAUCUGUCUCACACACUGAAAAACCACAUGCUGUAUGUAUCCCAUAUCCAGCCCAAGGCCAUAUCACCCCUAUGCUAAUGCUUGCUAAGCUUCUCCAUCACAAAGGUUUCUACAUAACUUUCGUCAACACCGACUACAAUAAUCGUCGUCUUCUCCAAUCCAGAGGCCCCAACUCGCUCGAUGGCUUGCAAGAUUUUAAGUUCCGAACCAUUCCCGACGGCCUUCCUUACUCAGAUGCCAACUGUACUCAAGAUAUUCCAGCACUCUGUGAAUCCACCUCCAAGAAUUGCUUAGCCCCUUUUUGUGAGCUUAUUUCACAACUCAACUCAAUGGCAGCUUCUCCUUCUAGUAAUAUGCCACCAGUUAGUUGUAUUGUUAGUGAUGCUAUUAUGUUUUUCUCUGUGAUGGCUGCCAAUGAGUUUAAAAUCCCUUAUGCUUUUAUUUGGACUGCUAGUGCUUGUGGCUACCUUGGUUACUUCCAAUAUGAGCAUCUCAUUAAAAAAGGCUUGAUUCCACUUAAAGGUAUGGUUCCAUUUUAAUGUGUGUUUUCUUUUCUUUUUUUCAUUUUUUUUCGAUCUUCCUUAAAAAUGAAUUUUUGUGUGGUAGAAUUUAAAAUUAAAAAUAAAAUUUAAAUUUUAGGGAGACUUUUUCAAAAAUGGUAUAAUCAACUAAAAUAUUUACAAAAUAUAUCAAAAUUUCAAAUCUUAUCCAUAGUAGAUAUAGAUAGAUUUCGCUCUUACUUGCUAUAUUUGAUAUAAUAACUUUUCUUAAUUUUAUUUUUAAUAAAUUCUUUUUUUUUAAAAAAAAAUGAUAGAACAUGUAAAAAAAAUUAACCUAAGAAUGACAUAUAUACUUAUUAGGAUAAAAAUUUGAAAAUUUAGAAACAAGUCAGAUACUUAUAUGUUUCAAGAGAAUACUUAUAUGUUUCAAGAGAAUUUUUUGUGGGAUAGACUUGUAUCAGUUUAAUUCUAUCACGUGAUAUAGUUAGUGUUGAUGAUGAGCUUCUCUCUGUCAAUUUCAAUCACAGAUAGAUAUUGAUAAACUUCUAUCAGCCUUUAUCAAUGAUAAGCUUCUAGUAUUGAUAGAUGACACUGAUAGAUUUCUACCUGUGUUUAGCCUGGAUUUUCUAAAUUUUUUAUUAGCGUCUAUCAGAAUGAUAAGAAAUUUAGAAUUUUUUGCAAUAACUAGUAAGUAGUUUAACCUAUCUUCCAAUUAAAAAAAGAACUUGGACAUCCACUAGAAUACACAAUCAUGUGGACCAAACUCAUCAUUUUAACCAAAUUCUUUAUUUUGAUGUUUGAGUAUUUAGUUUUGAUCUCUUCCCUGGUUAAUAGAUAUGAGUCAGGUAACAGAUGGAUAUUUAGAAACUACAAUCAGAUGGACUCAAGAAAUGACAAGUAUACGUUUGAGAGACCUUCCUACUUUUCUUAGAACAACAGUUCGAGAUGAUAACACCAUCAUUUUUGUUAUUCAAGCAAUGGAAAGAUCUCGAGAAGCAUCUGCAAUUAUAUUAAAUACAGUCGAUGCAAUCGAAGGAGAUGUCAAAGAUUCUCUUUCUUCUAUCCUUCAGUCUAUUUACACCAUUGGUCCACUUCACAUGCUUGCCAACCAAAUAAAUGAUGAAAAACUAACAGCAAUUAGCUCAAACCUAUGGGCUGAGGAAUCAGAAUGCAUUGAGUGGCUUAACUCUAAGCAACCCAACUCAGUUGUUUAUGUUAAUUUUGGUAGCAUCACAGUGAUGACACCACAACAAAUGAUUGAGUUUGCAUGGGGAUUAGCUGAUAGUGGGAAGCCAUUUUUGUGGAUUACAAGGCCUGAUUUAAUUGUGGGAGACUCAGCCAUUAUGUCUCAAGAAUUUGUCACACAAACUAAAGAUAGAAGCUUGAUAGCAAGUUGGUGUAGUCAAGAACAAGUGUUGAGCCAUCCUUCAAUAGGAGGAUUUGUAACACAUAGUGGAUGGAAUUCAACUCUUGAAAGUAUAUGUGCUGGUGUUCCAAUGAUAUGUUGGCCUUUCUUUUCUGAACAACAAACAAAUUGUCGUUAUUGUUGCACUGAGUGGGGGAUUGGAAUGGAGAUUGAUAACAAUGUAAUAAGAAGUGAAGUGGAGGAGUUAGUGAGAGAGUUGAUGGAUGGAGAAAAAGGUAAGAAAAUGAAAGAGAAUGUAAUGUAUUUGAAGAGUAAAGCUGAAGAAGCAUAUAAACCAGGUGGUUCUGCUUACAAGCAAUUGGAUAAGCUGAUCAAUGAAGUACUUUUGUCAAACAUAAAGAAGGUUUAAACUUUGUAUCCAAAGUUCUCUGCUUUACACCUAGUCGAUCUGCUUUUCUUCUUUAAGAACGUUUGUAUUACUAUAUUGAAUAAUUGCAUGGUUUUUCUGUUUCAAAAAAUCCUGCUAUUUGAUAUUAUGCAGAGUAUCUCAUUAAUUAAGUUUA